rnacentral:miRNA from 1 species
AGAACAUUUCCAUGAAAAGUCAGUAGUAGAAAUAUAUGUAUAUGUGUGUGUGUGUGUGUGUGGGUGUGUGUGUAUAUAUAUAUAUAUAUAUAUAUAUAUAUAU